UACGAAGGGGGCUAGCGUUGCUCGGAAUUACUGGGCGUAAAGGGCGCGUAGGCGGACAGUUUAGUCAGAGGUGAAAGCCCAGGGCUCAACCUUGGAAUUGCCUUUGAUACUGGCUGUCUUGAGUCCGGGAGAGGUGAGUGGAACUGCGAGUGUAGAGGUGAAAUUCGUAGAUAUUCGCAAGAACACCAGUGGCGAAGGCGGCUCACUGGCCCGGUACUGACGCCUGAGGUGCGAAAGCGUGGGGAGCAAACAGG
rnacentral:rRNA from 1 species